AAAGAUCUUGCCCGGAUUGAAGAUGUUGUCGGGAUCGAGAGAGCGUUUGAUCUGCCGCAUCAGAUCCAGCGCAUCACCGAGUUC
rnacentral:sRNA from 1 species